GACGAACGCUGGCGGCGUGCUUAACACAUGCAAGUCGAACGGAAAGGCCCUGCUUUUGUGGGGUGCUCGAGUGGCGAACGGGUGAGUAACACGUGAGUAACCUGCCCUUGACUUUGGGAUAACUUCAGGAAACUGGGGCUAAUACCGGAUAGGAGCUCCUGCUGCAUGGUGGGGGUUGGAAAGUUUCGGCGGUUGGGGAUGGACUCGCGGCUUAUCAGCUUGUUGGUGGGGUAGUGGCUUACCCAGGCUUUGACGGGUAGGCGGCCUGUGAGGGUGACCGGCCACAUUGGGACUGAGAUACGGCCCAGACUCCUACGGGAGGCAGCAGUGGGGAAUAUUGCACAAUGGGCGGAAGCCUGAUGCAGCAACGCCGCGUGCGGGAUGACGGCCUUCGGGUUGUAAAACGCUUUCGCCUGUGACGAAGCGUUAGUGACGGUAAUGGGUAAAGAAGCACCGGCUAACUACGUG
rnacentral:rRNA from 1 species